rnacentral:lncRNA from 1 species
CGGGAUCACCUUGACCCGGCUGUGGUGGACAUGCUGAGCCAGAGCCAGCUCCAGCUGGUGGGCAGCUUGUUCCAGGAAGCCGAGCCCUCCUCAGGGGCGGGCCGAGCCACGCUGGCCUCUCGCUUCCAGCAGACCCUGGAGGACCUGGUGGCCCAGCUGGGCAGGUGGGAGCAGGCCCCCAGCCCCGGCCCCAGGGCGUUGGA